UCAUAAUAAUGGAGGUUGCCGAGGGGGAGCAGCAUCAUAAUAAUGGAGGUUGCCGAGGGGGAGGAGCAUCAUAAUAAUGGAGGUUGCCGAGGGGGAGGAGCAUCAUAAUAAUGGAGGUUGCCGAGGGGGAGGAGCAUCAUAAUAAUGGAGGUUGCCGAGGGGGAGGAGCAUCAUAAUAAUGGAGGUUGCCGAGGGGGAGGAGCAUCAUAAUAAUGGAGGCUGCCGAGGGGGAGGAGCAUCAUAAUAAUGGAGGUUGCCGAGGGGGAGGAGCAUCAUAAUAAUGGAGGCUGCCGAGGGGGAGGAGCAUCAUAAUAAUGGAGGCUGCCGAGGGGGAGGAGCAUCAUAAUAAUGGAGGCUGCCGAGGGGGAGGAGCAUCAUAAUAAUGGAGGUUGCCGAGGGGGAGGAGCAUCAUAAUAAUGGAGG